rnacentral:rRNA from 1 species
UCCAGACUCCUACGGGAGGCAGCAGUGAGGAAUAUUGGUCAAUGGGCGGAAGCCUGAACCAGCCAAGUCGCGUGAGGGAAGAAGGCCCUGCGGGUCGCAGACCUCUUUGGACGGGGAGCAAGGCCGCCGACGUGUCGGCGGAAGGAGAGUACCCGUAGAACAAGCAUCGGCUAACUCCGUGCCAGCAGCCGCGGUAAUACGGAGGAUGCGAGCGUUAUCCGGAUUUAUUGGGUUUAAAGGGUGCGUAGGCGGGCGCUUAAGUCAGCGGUAAAAUUGCGGGGCUCAACCUCGUCGAGCCGUUGAAACUGGGUGCCUUGAGUGGGCGAGAAGUACGCGGAAUGCGUGGUGUAGCGGUGAAAUGCAUAGAUAUCACGCAGAACUCCGAUUGCGAAGGCAGCAUACCGGCGCCCUACUGACGCUGAGGCACGAAAGUGCGGGGAUCGAACAGGAUUAGAUACCCCCGUACAC